AGUGCCUACGGGAGGCAGCAGUGGGGAAUAUUGCACAAUGGAGGGAACUCUGAUGCAGCGACGCCGCGUGAGUGAAGAAGUAAUUCGUUAUGUAAAGCUCUAUCAGCAGGGAAGAAAGUGACGGUACCUGAAAAAGAAGCUCCGGCUAAAUACGUGCCAGCAGCCGCGGUAAUACGUAGGGAGCAAGCGUUAUCCGGAUUUAUUGGGUGUAAAGGGUGCGUAGACGGGAAAUUAAGUUAGUUGUGAAAUCCCUCGGCUCAACUGAGGAACUGCAACUAAAACUGGUUUUCUUGAGUGUUGGAGAG
rnacentral:rRNA from 1 species